rnacentral:rRNA from 1 species
ACGCUCGACACCUACGGAAGGCAGCAGUGGGGAAUAUUGCACAAUGGGGGAAACCCUGAUGCAGCGACGCCGCGUGGAGGAAGAAGGUCUUCGGAUUGUAAACUCCUGUUGUUGGGGAAAAAGAGGAUGGUACCCAACAAGGAAGUGACGGCUAACUACGUGCCAGAAGCCGCGGUAGUCUGAGCGGGCUGGCAAGGC